GGAAACUAUUUUCUUUUGUCUGCUCCUAUUGCAAAGCAAUGGGUUUGCUGAGUGCUGAGGGGAAAGGCCGAGGAGGGAGACAAGGGCAUCCCUAUUUACAAACAGACAAAAUUGCACAAGAAGUGCCUGGGCUUACAUAAGCAGUUUGUCCUUCUGGUGCAAACAAUCCAGCUAGACCACAAAUAUCAGAUGAGUGCUCAGGUGAAAAGCAGUUACAAGUCAUUGUUCUGAGAAAAUGCUCUGAAAGGGAGAGCCCAAGGCCGUGACAUCACCCACAGACAUCUGCAAACCAAGCCUGGAUGCUGUUUGUGCCUGUUGCCUCUUGUCCUGAUACUGAGCACCACUGAAGAGAGCCUGGCUCCAGCCUCUAUGAACACUCCCUUCAGAGUCCAUAGAAGAGCUUCAGUCUGGAGAACAGCACGUGACAAGACAGGUGUUACUGUAGAGAGAAUUGAUGGAGCCAGUGUAAGUUGACUUUGCUACUUCCAGAGAUGAAGCUGAGCUGGAGUUUGGCCCAUUCAUUUUCCUAACAGAUCUGUUCCGAAGAUUCAUGCAGUAUUCUCAAAUUUGAUGCCCUGAGUGCAGAUUUAUGAGUCUGGAUGAUUGAGUGGAGCGGACCAGCACAGGUGGUGAUGGAGUUAGCAGGUCCCAGCCUGACCUGCACUAUUUCUUAUCAUAAGCUCAGUGAUUCAGUGGCUGGGCACACAUCAGGAUUGGUAUGCUUAGAACAGAAAUAUCAUCUGCAAGACUCCUUCCAGCACAUUACUUGUGCUGUCACUCCUGCCCAGGUGGGGAGAUCAAUACAAGUUGUGGCUAUAUCUGGCAGAGUCAACUUCCAGUACAGCUGCUUCCAGGGGCAGCAGCCAAGCUCUGAAGCAAAAAGCAGAUAGAAAAGCAGCGCAUAUGGCAAUCUCACAGAAAGUAGAGGAAAGGCUAGACACAAGACAACCCAAAAUAUCACAUAAAAUGCACAAGAGAAUUGGUCAUAAACACAUAAUGUAUGAUCUUUCUAAUGCAGGCAGUGACCAUUCAUGACCUGACCUUGCAAGUACACGUUGAAUUGUUCUUUAUCUGUUCUACCAGAUUAUCUGGUUCUGCACAGAUAUGACAUAGUUGCUUAUCAUUAGACUUCUUAGCUAGGUCUAAAAUCAAAUAAACUCUAUGUCCUCAAGCCUGCAAGUGUGAUAAAUUAAUUUUAAAAUUCCACCAGAUUAAAAAAAAAUAAAAUAAAAAUAAAAAUAAAAA